rnacentral:rRNA from 1 species
UACGUAGGGUGCAAGCGUUGUCCGGAAUUAUUGGGCGUAAAGAGCUCGUAGGUGGUUUGUCGCGUUGUCCGUGAAAACUCACAACUCAAUUGUGGGCGUGCGGGCGAUACGGGCAGACUGGAGUACUGCAGGGGAGACUGGAAUUCCUGGUGUAGCGGUGAAAUGCGCAGAUAUCAGGAGGAACACCGGUGGCGAAGGCGGGUCUCUGGGCAGUAACUGACGCUGAGGAGCGAAAGCGUGGGGAGCGAACAGG